GUGGAUUAGAUACCCUGGUAGUCCGCGCUGUAAACGAUGGAUACUAGGUGCUGCGGGUAUUGACCCCUGCGGUGCCGUCGCUAACGCAUUAAGUAUCCCGCCUGGGAAGUACGGCCGCAAGGCUAAAACUCAAAGGAAUUGACGGGGGCCCGCACAAGCGGUGGAGCAUGUGGUUUAAUUCGACGCAACGCGAAGAACCUUACCCAGGCUUGACAUUGAUGGAAUCCUGUAGAAAUACGGGAGUACUCUUCGGAGACCAGAAAACAGGUGCUGCACGGCCGUCGUCAGCU
rnacentral:rRNA from 1 species